UGGGGAAUAUUGCACAAUGGGCGGAAGCCUGAUGCAGCGACGCCGCGUGGGGGAUGAAGGCCUUCGGGUUGUAAACUCCUUUCGACAGGGACGAAGCGUAAGUGACGGUACCUGUAUAAGGAGCACCGGCUAACUACGUGCCAGCAGCCGCGGUAAUACGUAGGGUGCGAGCGUUGUCCGGAAUUACUGGGCGUAAAGAGCUCGUAGGUGGUUUGUCGCGUCGUCUGUGAAAUUCCGGGGCUUAACUCCGGGCGUGCAGGCGAUACGGGCUGACUUGAGUGCUGUAGGGGAGACUGGAAUUCCUGGUGUAGCGGUGAAAUGCGCAGAUAUCAGGAGGAAUACCGAUGGCGAAGGCAGGUCUCUGGGCAGUAACUGACGCUGAGGAGCGAAAGCAUGGGUAGCGAACAGGAUUAGAUACCCUGGUAGUCCAUGCCGUAAACGGUGGGCGCUAGGUGUAGGGGGCUUCCACGUCUUCUGUGCCGUAGCUAACGCAUUAAGCGCCCCGCCUGGGGAGUACGGCCGCAAGGCUA
rnacentral:rRNA from 1 species